AGCAGCGCAGGGCACAGCAGUUGGUUUGGUGGUGUGCCUUUACUACCGGCCGCCCAACACCAGGGAGGAUUUAAUUGCCUCCUCCUGCCUCGCUCUAGCUGCUGCGCCUGCCAGAAGUAAUGCGCACUCCGCAGUGACCAACCGACCGACGACGCAGCUGCGCGCCACCUGCGGGGAUAUGGGAGAGAGGAGGAGGCGUGGGAGUGCUGCUGCCGCCGCCGCCGGUGGCCGGCCUGAGGAGGAGAAGGCUGCGGUGCCGGGGAAGGCGCCGCCGCCGACGGUGUGGUUCGCGCUCAAGAGGUCGCUGCACUGCCGGUCCGAACCGUCGGAGGUGCACGUGCCGAGGCCCAAGGUUGGUCCCUCGGGCGGCGCCGCCGGCGCGGGCGUUGGCGGGCACCUGUCGUCGAUAGUCACGAAGCGGGCCGCGCGGUCAGGGUGCUCGCGCUCGAUAGCCAACCUGCGGGACGUCAUCCACGGGAGCAAGCGCCACCCAGGGCAGCCGCCCAGCUGCAGCCCGCGGUCCAUCGGCAGCAGCGAGUUCCUCAACCCCAUCGCCCACGAGGUGGUGCUCAGCACCAACUCCCGCUGCGAGCUCAAGAUCACCGGCUUCGGCGGCCUCGGGGCGGUGGGCUCCGCGCACGACGCGGAGGGCGGCGACGGCGCCGGCAGCGUGGUGUCGUCGUUCGUGGGCACGCUCCGGCCGGGCACGCCGGGGCCCGCGUGGGCCGGUCAUGGACUGCAGUACAGCGGCUCGUGCCGGGGCAGCGUGCGGUGCACGCCGCCAAGGUCCCCGAACGUGCUGCUGGAGAGGAACGGCUCCGUGGUGGCGGGCCAACGCGCGUCCUGCGAGGAAACCGCCAGGAGCGGCGGUGGCAAGGGCUCCGGCGGGCUGAGCUGCCACAGGUGCGGCGAGCAGUUCGGCAAGUGGGAGGCGCUGGAGGCGCACCACCUCUCCAAGCAUGCAGUGACGGAGCUGGUGGAAGGGGACUCGUCCCGGAAGAUCGUGGAGAUCAUCUGCCGGACAAGCCUGCUCAAGUCGGAGAGCAGCUGCGUGCGGAUCGAGCGUGUGUUCAAGGUGCACAACACGCAGCGGACGCUAUCCCGCUUCGAGGAGUACCGCGAGGCCGUGAAGCUCAAGGCGAGCAAGCUGCCCAAGAAGCACCCGCGCUGCCUCGCUGACGGCAACGAGCUGCUGCGCUUCCACGGCGCCACCAUCUCGUGCUCGCUGGGCACCAGCGCCGGCGGCUCCUCCUUCUCCAGCCUCUGCGCCUCCGACAAGUGCGCCGUCUGUCGCAUCAUCCGCCACGGGUUCUCCGCCAAGAAGGAGGGCAAGGCCGGCGUCGGCGUGUUCACCACGUCCACCAGCGGCCGCGCGUUCGAGUCCAUCGAGGCGUGCGACGACGACCCGGCCACACGCAAGGCGCUGCUGGUGUGCAGGGUCAUCGCCGGUAGGGUGCACAAGCCGCUCGACAACCUCAAGGAGUUCACCGGGCAGACGGGCUUCGACUCGCUCGCCGGCAAGGUCGGGCCCUACUCCAACAUCGAGGAGCUGUACCUGCUGAACCCGAGGGCGCUGCUCCCGUGCUUCGUGGUCAUCUGCAAGCCGUAGUCGAGAGACAGCAACUAAUUGUUAAGUAACCAUUCUUUUUUUUCCCUUCUCUUUCGUGUGCGUCUCGUUGUUGCCGUUUGUUUGAGCUAUAACACAGCAUAGCUACCAAUCAGAUGCAUUUGUCCAUAUGAAGGUACGUGCUUGCCCCCAUGUGUUCAUGGGGUGAUUGAUUCGGCAUCGUCUUCAGAGCAGCUCACCAGCGGCAUCGAAUCAAUCAUGGGUUGCCACACCAAAGUAUAUACGAGUGCAUCCUAAAUGACCAACCUUGCUUUCUCCCCCAAACUCAAUGUGCCUUCGUGAUUUAUUUGCAAGCAAGUGUUGCCCGUACUCCAAGGAGCAAUCCCAUGUCGUUGUCACAUCUAUGGCUACCGGCCGUCUGAACCGGACAUUCAAUACGCUUCUUUUUUUUGCCUAGGUGUCUGCGACAACAGUGUCGGAUCAGAGCGACGCCGAUGGCACGCCGGCUUUCUGGCUCAUCAUGGUCCCGUUGCAGCCUGCAGCCCCAUGGAUUAUUAGUUUUCCGAAGUCCACUCUUUCCACUUAAAAUCACUCGCUGUGGUAGCCUGCCAUUCGUCAUCCCAGCAUUGGCAAGCUCGUCGCUGGCGCCACCCUCCAACGUCGUCUCGCCGCAGAAAGCACCAAGCAGCCACCAAGGCUUGCUGCUGCUGCCCUGCCACAGCCAGCGGCCCCUUCUCAGGUUGUCAGCCGUCACUACCCACGGGGUUCUCAGAGCCCUGCGCCGCGCCAGCGUGCCACGGUCCAAGCAGUUCGAUUGUCAUUUCUCCAAUCGACGGACGCCUUCAGGAUCGCGAAAACGCGAUUAGGAAAAGAUGAGCCAAGGGAUUGAUGGUUUGCGUGGGAAGACCGUGAACGUUCCCAGGAACUCGUGUUUGCAUCACACGCUCCAAGUUUUCAAUGACAGUUAGCCCAACGAUGAAUCUGUCUGACCAGACGCCAUCCUUUCUCCGGUGUUCUGGACAGGGCA